rnacentral:rRNA from 1 species
GACGAACGCUGGCGGCGUGCUUAACACAUGCAAGUCGAACGGAAAGGCCCUGCUUUUGUGGGGUGCUCGAGUGGCGAACGGGUGAGUAACACGUGAGUAACCUGCCCUUGACUUUGUGAUAACUUCAGGAAACUGGGGCUAAUACCGGAUAGGAGCGCCUGCUGCAUGGUGGGGGUUGGAAAGUUUCGGCGGUUGGGGAUGGACUCGCGGCUUAUCAGCUUGUUGGUGGGGUAGUGGCUUACCAAGGCUUUGACGGGUAGCCCGCCUGGGAGGGUGAACGGCCACAUUGGGACUGCGAUACGGAGCAGACGCCUACGGGAGGCAGCAGUGGGGAAUAUUGCACAAUGGGCGGAAGCCUGAUGCAGCAACGCUGCGUGCGGGAUGACGGCCUUCGGGUUGUAAACCGCAUUCGCCUGUGACGAAGCGUGAGUGACGGUAAUGGGUAAAGAAGCACCGGCUAACUACGUG